rnacentral:rRNA from 1 species
CCUACGGGAGGCAGCAGUGAGGAAUAUUGGUCAAUGGGCGAGAGCCUGAACCAGCCAAGUCGCGUGAGGGAGUACUGCCCUAUGGGUUGUAAACCUCUUUUGUCGGGGAGCAAAAGCCGGACGUGUCCGGCUGUGAGAGUACCCGAAGAAAAAGCAUCGGCUAACUACGUGCCAGCAGCCGCGGUAAUACGGAGGAUGCGAGCGUUAUCCGGAUUUAUUGGGGUUAAAGGGUGCGCAGGCGGAUUUUUAAGUCAGCGGUCAAAUCGUGGGGCUCAACCCCAUCCAGCCGUUGAAACUGGUGAUCUAGAGUGUGCGAGAGGUAUGCGGAAUGCGUCGUGUAGCGGUGAAAUGCAUAGAUAUCACGCAGAACCCCGAUUGCGAAGGCAGCAUACCGGUGCACAACUGACGCUCAGGCACGAAAGCGUGGGUAUCGAACAGGAUUAGAUACCCCAGUAGUC